UGCCCUUCGGCUUUUACCUCCCUGUUGGACUUGGCCGGGCUAUGCCCGGCCUUUUUU
rnacentral:ncRNA from 1 species